rnacentral:rRNA from 1 species
AACAGGAUUAGAUACCCGGGUAGUCCAUGCCNUNAACGAUGAGUGCUAAGUGUUGGAGGGUUUCCGCCCUUCAGUGCUGCAGCUAACGCAUUAAGCACUCCGCCUGGGGAGUACGACCGCAAGGUUGAAACUCAAAGGAAUUGACGGGGGCCCGCACAAGCGGUGGAGCAUGUGGUUUAAUUCGAUGCUACGCGAAGAACCUUACCAGGUCUUGACAUCUUCUGCCAACCUAAGAGAUUAGGCGUUCCCUUCGGGGACAGAAUGACAGGUGGUGCAUGGUUGUCGUCAGCUCGUGUCGUGAGAUGUUGGGUUAAGUCCCGCAACGAGCGCAACCCUUAUUGUUAGUUGCCAGCAUUCAGUUGGGCACUCUANNNNAGACUGCCGGUGACAAACCGGAGGAAGGUGGGGAUGACGUCAAAUCAUCAUGCCCCUUAUGACCUGGGCUACACACGUGCUACAAUGGACGGUACAACGAGUCGCGAAACCGCGAGGUCAAGCUAAUCUCUUAAAGCCGUUCUCAGUUCGGAUUGUAGGCUGCAACUCGCCUACAUGAAGUUGGAAUCGCUAGUAAUCGUGGAUCAGCAUGCCACGGUAAAUACGUUCCCGGGNCUUGUACACACCGCCCGUCACACCAUGAGAGUUUGUAACACCCAAAGCCGGUGANGUAACCUUCGGGGACCAGCCGUCUAANGUGGGACAGAUGAUUAGGGUGAAGUCGUAACAAGGUAACC